rnacentral:sRNA from 1 species
UUGAUGUCUGGGCCGAAAGCUCGGAGGC